rnacentral:rRNA from 1 species
CCUACGGGGGGCAGCAGUGGGGAAUAUUGCGCAAUGGGCGAAAGCCUGACGCAGCGACGCCGCGUGAGGGAUGAAGGUCUUCGGAUCGUAAACCUCUGUCAGCAGGGAAGAACGGUCACUGUGCUAAUCAGCAGUGAAUUGACGGUACCUGCAAAGGAAGCACCGGCUAACUCCGUGCCAGCAGCCGCGGUAAUACGGAGGGUGCGUGCGUUAAUCGGAAUUACUGGGGGUAAAGCGCUCGUAGGCGGUAUGUCAAGUCAAGGGUGAAAUCCCCGCGCUCAACGUGGGAACUGCCUUUGAAACUGUGCGGCUGGAGUGCAGGAGAGGUAAGUGGAAUG